CGCAUGGUGGCUUAGUGGUUAGCACGUUCGCCUCACACCUCCAGGGUCUGAGUUCAAUUCAGGGCCAUGUGU